rnacentral:rRNA from 1 species
CCGGACCUUACUGCUAUCGGGGUGGGGCUAAGACAUGCGAGUCGAGCGUCUCUAGCUAUGUUGAGACGCGGCAGACGGCUCAGUAACACGUGGCUAACCUACCCUCAGGACGAGGAUAAACCCGGGAAACUGGGGCUAAUACUCGAUAGGUGAGAAUGUCUGGAAUGAUUUCUCAUUCAAAGGGCUUUAGAAACAUGCUUCUAAAGUCGCCUGGGGAUGGGGCCGCGUCCGAUCAGGUUGUUGGUGAGGUAACGGCUCACCAAGCCUAUAACCGGUACGGGCCGUGAGAGCGGUAGCCCGGAGAUGGGUACUGAGACAGGGACCUAGGCCCUACGGGGCGCAGCAGUCGCGAAAACUCCGCAAUGCACGAAAGUGUGACGGGGCUACCCCGAGUGCCAUCCGCUGAGGAUGGCUUUUCUUUGGUGUAACUAGCCGGGGGAAUAAGGAGAGGGCAAGACUGGUGUCAGCCGCCGCGGUAAUACCAGCUCUCCGAGUGGUAGGGAUGAUUAUUGGGCUUAAAGCGUCCGUAGCCGGCUUAGCAAGUCUCCUGUUAAAUUCAGCGACCUAAUCGUUGAGCCGCGGGAGAUACUACUAGGCUAGGAGGCGGGAGAGGUCGACGGUACUUCUGGGGUAGGGGUGAAAUCCUAUAAUCCCGGAAGGACCACCAGUGGCGAAGGCUGUUGACUAGAACGCGCUCAACGGUGAGGGACGAAAGCUGGGGGAGCGAACCGGAUUAGAUACCCGGGUAGUCCCAGCCGUAAACGAUGCGGGCUAGGUGUUGGGGUGGCUACGCGCCACUUCAGUGCCGCAGGGAAGCCAUUAAGCCCGCCGCCUGGGGAGUACGGCCGCAAGGCUGAAACUUAAAGGAAUUGGCGGGGGAGCAC